rnacentral:rRNA from 1 species
AUACGUAGGUGGCAAGCGUUGUCCGGAAUUAUUGGGCGUAAAGCGCGCGCAGGCGGUCCUUUAAGUCUGAUGUGAAAGCCCACGGCUCAACCGUGGAGGGUCAUUGGAAACUGGAGGACUUGAGUGCAGAAGAGGAAAGUGGAAUUCCAAGUGUAGCGGUGAAAUGCGUAGAGAUUUGGAGGAACACCAGUGGCGAAGGCGACUUUCUGGUCUGGAACUGACGCUGAGGCGCGAAAGCGUGGGGAGCAAACAGGAUUAGAUACCCUGGUAGUCCACGCCGUAAACGAUGAGUGCUAAGUGUUAGGGGGUUUCCGCCCCUUAGUGCUGCAGCUAACGCAUUAAGCACUCCGCCUGGGGAGUACGGUCGCAAGACUGAAACUCAAAUGAAUUGACGGGG